rfam:Triticum urartu cultivar G1812 contig183732, whole genome shotgun sequence.
AUCAUACUCCUUCCAUUCCGAAUUACUUGUCGCAGAUAUGGAUGUAUCUAGAUGUAUUUUAGUUCUAGAUACAUCAAUUCUUACAACGAGUAAUUUGAAACGGAGAGAGUAUUUU